GUGGCAAACACCACUUUCUGAUUUUAAGGACUAAAACUCGGGCUUGUUUGUUCCUGUUUCAAGCAUGAUUAUCAUGCUCUGCAUCUCUCUCUCACUCCCUCUUUUCUCGUCCGAAAAACAGAGCAUCGGCUCUCACCUUUCUCUCUUGCUCCACCGGCCACCAGGCAGCACCACAUCACCUCCCACACCUUCAAGACGAUCGUGCGCAGCUGCAGGAGGCGGCCUUGCGCUGCAGAACCACCGGAGACGGCGGCGGAGGCCGAAAAACCCGUUUUUGCUCCAAGCUUGAUAACUCGAGCUACCGGCCACGAAACCUUCCCAAACUUCACCCACAGGUUCGCCUUGACCUUCUGAAGCUCCCAGAACCUCCCUUUCACGGCGGCGCUGCCUCUGGACGCGGCUGGAACUCGAACCCGGUUGCACCGAAAACUUCGAUCAGAAGGGAUCGAGGCCUGAGGUUGCAGUUUUUACGUCGAACUCGGAGCUCGCCGGUUUCUGGGUUUUUCCGGCCAACCCGACUGUUUGAGGUGAUUGACGGUUUUUACUUGGGCGAGCGAGUUUGGUGUGAUUGUAUUAAUUUGAAGACGCAGCGGGAUUAUCGAGAGCAUCGGCUCUCACCUUUCUCUCUUGCUCCACCGGCCACCAGGCAGCACCACAUCACCUCCCACACCUUCAAGACGAUCGUGCGCAGCUGCAGGAGGCGGCCUUGCGCUGCAGAACCACCGGAGACGGCGGCGGAGGCCGAAAAACCCGUUUUUGCUCCAAGCUUGAUAACUCGAGCUACCGGCCACGAAACCUUCCCAAACUUCACCCACAGGUUCGCCUUGACCUUCUGAAGCUCCCAGAACCUCCCUUUCACGGCGGCGCUGCCUCUGGACGCGGCUGGAACUCGAACCCGGUUGCACCGAAAACUUCGAUCAGAAGGGAUCGAGGCCUGAGGUUGCAGUUUUUACGUCGAACUCGGAGCUCGCCGGUUUCUGGGUUUUUCCGGCCAACCCGACUGUUUGAGGUGAUUGACGGUUUUUACUUGGGCGAGCGAGUUUGGUGUGAUUGUAUUAAUUUGAAGACGCAGCGGGAUUAUCGAGCGGGUAAUCCUACAGGUCAGGAGAACCAAGGCGGUGAUCGGGCUGCUUAGAGUGGUGGCACUUGGGUUACAACAUUUUGUGAGGUUUGUUAUGCUCAUUUAGAGCUUACAAAAUUUACGUUGUAAGAGUGAGUUGUAAUAAUUAACUCGAAGUUUUCGAGAUUUGUAUUUUGAGUGGUGUGAGGCAUGAUUGUUCUGAAAAAUUUUCAGAAUGUAUAAGUGUUUAAGUUUGUUUAAUUCAUGUUUCGGAUUUUGAUUGUGU